rnacentral:rRNA from 1 species
AUACAGAGGGUGCGAGCGUUAAUCGGAAUUACUGGGCGUAAAGCGCGCGUAGGCGGUUACGUAAGUCGGAUGUGAAAGCCCCGGGCUUAACCUGGGAAUUGCAUUCGAAACUGCGUGGCUAGAGUCUGAUAGAGGGAAGUGGAAUUUCCGGUGUAGCGGUGAAAUGCGUAGAUAUCGGAAGGAACAUCAGUGGCGAAGGCGGCUUCCUGGAUCAAGACUGACGCUCAGGUGCGAAAGCGUGGGGAGCAAACAGGAUUAGAUACCCCAGUAGUCC